rnacentral:lncRNA from 1 species
UGGUCAGAAAAAGAAAUAUCAUUAAAAAUCAAGGUACCAGAGGUACCGAAAGUUACAAAUUGAAAUGACAAAUGGUUUCAGACAUCCAGUCCUGUAUGCUAAUAUCACCCUCCAUCAAGUGGAAGAUUUUACUCCAACUCCAAAGUCUAGCUUUAAUACCUUCCACCAACUUGUGAACCUCCCAAUUCUUACUCUCAAAUCUACUUUCAUUCCUUCCUUUCCAGAUAAGCCAAGUGGUGCACGCCCAAAGUACCGAUAAAAACUUGACGCUGUUCUUCCUUGUCCCAAGAUUUGAGAAGGCUUCGUAGUGUGCGCCGACGUUUAAAGGUCGGACUGAAUCAACACCCACCCAUUUUUGGAUUUCAUUCCAAACCAUUUCUGUCUUCGGGCACCAGAGGAAAAGAUGAUUAACUGAUUCCUCCUUCUGACAGCAUGCAUUGCACAUAACUUCCUCUUCUCCAAGCAGAAUCCUUCGUUUAACAAGGUUAUCACAAGUAGGUAGCCGGUUUCUCAGUAUUCUCCACGUCGUGACUUUGACCUUUUGUGGAGCCCGAAUCUUCCAUGCUUUUGCAUAUCUCUCAAUGAGAUUUGACGUCGCCCUCUCCUCCAUUCGCGACUCCCUGAUGACUUUAUAGGCUGACCUUGUAGAAAAAGCGCCUUCUUUAUCUGCUUUCCAAUUCCAACCAUCUUCCUCACCUGCACAAAAUUUGACAUUGGCAACUACAACUGUAAGAUCAUUCACCAGAUCAACUUCUCUAUUGAAAAGGUCUCUCCUCCACUCCCAUUUCCACUCCCAAACAUCCCCCACCCAGAUACCCAUUUCACAUAUCCAAGCUACCUUUUGAGAACUUAGGUUGUAAAGUCUAGGAAAAGUCAUUUUCAAGGGUCUGUUCCCCACCCAAUUGUCAACUAUCUAACAAACAUAACUCUAACAAUUUAGAUAUUUUAUUUAUGUAUGUAAUUUUAUUAGUUCAAACUCUAGAGAGAAAGGAAAGAGAAGAGUUCUUAAAGCAGUAAAAGAGAGAGCGUGUGCUUUAUUUCAUCAUCAUAGGUAUUUAUAGGCAUUACAGUCGGAGUAAAGUAGUAAAUUCGUUUGGUCAUCUAUUCCGCAUGCUCGCCAUUAGACUAAUUAAGGCUAUUAUUAGAUUAUAACUUGUCAGGUUGUUGUCCCCUAAUUACAGAGCUGGAUUCUGUCCUCAUCAUCCCGCUCUGUCUAGUAGCUCUGUAUUUCCUUCCUUGGGGCAGACUUCUACUCUUUGGCUCCGCUCUGCUAAGUAGCUCUGCCUUCUGGCGAAUUGUCUCUGGCGUGUGGCUUCACGCUUUGGCUCCAAUAGCUUAGCCCUGACUCUGGAUCUGGCGAUUUGGCUCUGGCUCUGACUCUAACGACUUAGCUCUGACUCUGGAUCUGGCGACUUGGCUCUGGCUCUGACUUUAAUGACUUAGCUCUGGCAGCUCUGCUCUGGCAACUUGGCUCUGGCCCUCUGCUCUGGAAGCUCUGCUCUGGUUAGCUCUGGCUCUGGCAGCUCUGCUCUGGAAGCUCUGCUCUGGAAGCUCUGCUCUGGUUAGCUCUGGCUCUGGAAGCUCUGCUCUAGCAACUCUGCUCUGGCAGCUCUGUUCUGGAAGCUUUGCUCUGCCAACUCUGCUCUGGUAAGCUCUGCUAUGGACUUUUUCCUCUGCCUAUUUCUCACAGCUUCUUUGCUCCCUGCUGCUCAUCUUUGGUAUUCCAAGCAAAGCCACGUGUCCUGAUCUUGGGACCUUGCAUAUUUCACCCCACAUCAGAGUUGAUAAAUCAUAUUGCUUCCAAGCAACAAUCACAACACACUUGAUAGCAGAUGCCAAAAUUCUUUCCAAAAUUUGUUCUUUCUAAAAUAAUAAUCAUUCUAUAUUUAAAAUAGUGAAACACGUUAUUAAAUUAGGAAACUAAUUUAAUACUUACCAUAGGUGUGUAGGAAGAAUCAUGGCAGAUCAGGAAAUGGAUGUAUCAAAACAGAGAAGUCGUCGGUGGGGUGGGGGUCGACGACACGGUGGGCGAACUCCAGGGCUCAGCGGUGACUCGGCGGCGGACGAACCGCAAGCUCAGCGGCGACUAUUUCGCCGGAGUCUAGAAGAAGGAACGGCAACGGGUUAUAGGAAAAAGAAAUCUUAGGGCUCUUGUAUUAAUUGCUUCGAAUGGAGAAUUCUCAUGGGUUUAAGAAGUGGAAACAAAAUCGAACUAAUUAAGGAAUGGAAGAGGGAGUCAGAGAUGAGGCGGAGCAACGCCGCCCUUAGGACGGCGGCGACGCCUGAAUUUAGAGGGAGAGAGAGGCGGGCAGUUUAAGGGGGGAAUUAGGGCUUGAUUUGAGUGUGCAAUCGACUUUAGAGAGAGAAAAUGAUUGAGAGAAGAGAGAGACAGUGAAGGGGGAGACGACGCCGACCGGAUUCAGGGACGGCGACGAUGGGGUGAGGAAGAGGGAGGCGUGACUUUUGUUUUAAAAGUGAGAAUGAGAAUAUAUAGAUUGGAUUCUCAAAUGCCACGUUGGAGAUUGAGAUUGAAAAGAAAGAAUUUGAGGCCUGCCACGUAGGCUAAGGCCUAAUCGUAUAGAAUAGUAUUAUUAUUAUUAUUAUUAUUAUUAUUAUUAUUAUUAUUAUUAUUAUUAUUAUUAUUAUUAUUAUUAUUAUUAUUAUUAUUAUUAUUGUAGUAAUGGACGAACAAAACAAUAAAGUUUGCAGAAAUGAAAAUAUAUUUUUCUUCCCUAUAUAAUAAAUGUAUGGAUUUAUUUUAUAAAAAUAAAUAAAAUUUAAUAUUUAGAUAGACAUAAAUAAGAUUUGUUUUAAAGUAAUCAGUUUAUAAAAUUUGUGCCUUAUUAUGCAAACAUAUAAAUCAAUGACCGGACCCGUUUAUAAUUUACAUAUACGUGCAUGUCUCAAUUAAAACUUAAUUUAAAAUUAAUUUUAUUGAAAAUUAAGAAUAUAAAUAUUAUAUAUAUACAUACAAUAUAUAUACAAUAUAAUAUAUUGCAACAUAUACAUAUAAUAUGUACGCUAUUGAGAAAUAUAAAAUUAAUAACAAAUAUACAUCUAAUCACUAACAUUCAAUUAAAAUAAUUUAUCGUAUAUAGAUUAUAAUUUUUUUCUUAUCGGACAUGUAAAUCUAGUUUUUAUCUAGAAAAAAUAAAUAAUAAAAUUUAUUAAUUUAGAUUAUAUGUAAUGUUAAUAUUAUUAUAUAGAUAUUAUAUUAUAUGAUUAAUGAAUCUUUAUAUAGAAUGUAAUAGUUAAUUAAUUAAUAAAUGAUGAAGAUUAGUAUAUGGUAAAUUUUGAAAUGGUGAAAUUUUAGAUAUGCCACAUAGGUUAAGGCUUAAUCCUAUUAUAUAAUAGAUUAACUACACACUUAAAACACUAAUCUACAACUCUUUAAUUUCCGUGCCGAAUCCAAACGUGUCAAGAUUCGUGGGACGGAGGGAGUAAUUUAUAGUAUUAAAAUAUUGUGUAUAUUUAAAGACGAUGAUAUUCCGUUGAGGAUGCAAAAAUUUCAAGGAUGAUCAUAUCCCAUUCGAGAGGCGAAAAUUCACACUCAAAUCAAUAUGUAAGAUCAAAUUUUCAGAUACUAGGAAUAAAGAUAUAUAGGAUCAAAUUCCUAACCCUUUUGUCCUAUUCACNUAUUUCAUCAUCGUAGGUAUUUAUAGGCAUUACAGUCGGGGUAAAGUAGUAAAUUCGUUUGGUAAUCUAUUUUGCAUGCUCGCCAUUAAACUAAUUAAGGCUAUUAUUAGAUUAUAACUUGUCAGGUCGUUGUCCCCUAAUUACAGAGCUGGAUUCUGUCCUCAUCAUCCCGCUCUGUCUAAUAGCUCUGGAUUUCCUUCCUUGGGGCAGACUUUUACUCUUUGGCUCCGCUCUGCUAAAUAGCUCCGCCUUCUGGCGAAUUGUCUCUGACGUGUGGCUCCGCGCUCUGGCUCCAAUAGCUUAGCUUUGACUCUGGAUCUGGCGAUUUGGCUCUGGCUCUGACUCUAACGACUUAGCUCUGACUCUGGAUCUGGCGACUUGGCUCUGGCUCUGACUUUAAUGACUUAGCUCUGGCUCUGGCACUGGCUAUGGCUUAGCUCUGCUCUGGCAGCUCUGCUCUGGAAGCUUUGCUCUGGCAUCUCUGCUCUGGUUAGCUCUGGCUCUGGCAUCUCUGCUCUGGCAUCUCUGCUCUGGCAACUUGACUCUGGCCCUCUGCUCUGGAAGCUCUGCUCUGGUUAGCUCUGGCUCUGGAAGCUCUGCUCUGGCAACUCUACUCUGGCAGCUCUGUUCUGGAAGCUUUGCUCUGCCAACUCUGCUCUGGACUUUUUCCUCUGCCUAUUUCUCACAGCUUCUUUGCUCCCUGCUGCUCAUCUUUGGUAUUCCAAGCAAAGCCACGUGUCCUGAUUUUAGGAACUUGCAUCAAUCACAACACGCUUGAUAGCAGAUGCCAAAAUUCUUUCCAAAAUUUGUUCUUUCUAAAAUAAUAAUCAUUCUAUAUUUAAAAUAGUGAAACGCUUUAUUAAAUUAGGAAACUAAUUUAAUACUUACCAUAGGUGUGUAGGAAGAAUCACGGCUAAUCAGGAAAUGGAGGUAUCAAAACAGAGAAGUCGUCGGUGGGGUGGGGGUCGACGGCACGGUGGACGAACUCCAGGGCUCAGCGGUGACUCGACGGCGGAUGAACCGCAAGCUCAGCGGCGACUAUUUCGCCGGAGUCUAGAAGAAGGAACGACAACGGGUUAUAGGAAAAAGAAAUCUUAGGGCUCUUGUAUUAAUUGCUUCAAAUGGAGAAUUCUCAUGGGUUUAAGAAGUGGAAACAAAAUCGAACUAAUUAAGGAAUGGAAGAGGGAGUCAGAGAUGAGGCGGAGCAACGCCGCCCUUAGGACGGCGGCGACGCCUGAAUUUAGAGGGAGAGAGAGGCGGGCAGUUUAAGGGGGGAAUUAGGGCUUGAUUUGAGUGUGCAAUCGACUUUAGAGAGAGAAAAGGAUUGAGAGAAGAGAGAGACAGUGAAGGGGGAGACGACGCCGACCGGAUUCAGGGACGGCGGCGAUGGGGUGAGGAAGAGGGAGGUGUGACUUUUGUUUUAAAAGUGAGAAUGAGAAUAUAUAGAUUGGAUUCUCAAAUGCCACGUUGGAGAUUGAGAUUGAAAAGAAAUAAUUUGAGGCCUGCCACGUAGGCUAAGGCCUAAUCGUAUUAUAGAAUAGAUAUUAUUAUUAUUAUUAUUAUUAUUAUUAUUAUUAUUAUUAUUAUUAUUAUUAUUAUUAUUAUUAUUAUUAUUAUUGUUGUAGUAAUGGACGAACAAAAACAAAUAAAAGUUUAGUCAGAAAUAGAAAAUAAUAUUUUCUUUCCCUACUAUAAAUAAAAAUAGUAUGGAUUUAUUUUAUAAAAAAUAAAAAUAAAAUUUUUAUUAUUUUGAUAGACAUAUAAUAAGAUUUUGUUUUAAAGAAUCAGUUUAUAGAAUUUGUGCCUUAUUAUGCAAACAUGUAAAUCAAUGACCGGACCCGUUUAUAAUUUACAUAUACGUGCAUGUCUCAAUUCAAAACUUAAUUUAAAAUUAAUUUUAUUGAAAAUUAAGAAUAUAAAUAUUAUAUAUAUAUAUAUAUUAUAUAUACAAUAUAAUAUAUUGCAACAUAUACAUAUAAUAUGUACGCUAUUGAGAAAUAUAAAAUUAAUAACAAAUAUACAUCUAAUCACUAACAUUCAAUUAAAAUAAUUUAUCGUAUAUAGAUUAUAAUUUUUUUCUUAUCGGACAUGUAAAUCUAGUUUUUAUCUAGAAAAAAUAAAUAAUAAAAUUUAUUAAUUUAGAUUAUAUGUAAUGUUAAUAUUAUUAUAUAGAUAAUUAUAUUUAUUAUGAUUAAUGAAUCUUUAUAUAGAAUGUAAUAGUUAAUUAAUUAAUAAAUGAUGAAGAUUAGUAUAUGGUAAAUUUUGAAAUGGUGAGAUUUUAGAUAUGCCACAUAGGUUAAGGCUUAAUCCUAUUAUAUAAUAGAUUCUCGUUUCCCUAAUUAAUAAUUAUACAAAUCAAUUAUUAACUUGUAGAAUUUAGUUUUUAUUGGAAAUUUCUAACGUGGGUACGCACAUUCUACUUGUAUAUUUACUGAUUUACAGAAAGAGCAAUAAUUAUAACUUAAAAUAGUAAAACAAUAGAAGAAUUGGUAAUAAAAUUCGGUGCAAACCACCUUGUCAAGGAGGAUGCCUUCUUACCAAGUGAAAAACAUUCAUGUUAGAAUUUGUAGAUGGAAAGCAAGAUAUUUUAUGCUUGUAUAUAUAGUUCAUCAUAUUAUUCGUUCUCUUAUUUGAAAGGUAUAUAUGUUGACUUAUCUCGUUAAAUGAAUAUAUUAAAUGGUGUAUUGUAGUUACGGAAGAUCAUAUGAUUGGACUGAUUUUUAUGAUAUAUAAACAAUAAAUCACAUAUCCGAGAUAUUAUUGAUAUAGACUGCAACACAUUAAAAAAAUGACUUAUCUUAGUUAUUUAUUUAUAUAUAAAUACGUUAUAAUGUAUUGGGGAUCACAAUAAGUUGUGUUUUUAAUUAUUACCUGAUCUAAGAAUAACUAUAGAUUUCAGUAACUAUUAUUGACUUAAUUCCUAAUAUAGUUAAAAAUGUAUAUACUUGUUUGUGUGUCACACUUUAAUUUAUAUUGAAUUAUAGUUAAUUCGAUGAACUCAAGUAUUAUUUAUAUUUUAGGUUACAAUAAUUCAUGUAUGAUAUUUGAUACUCCCUCCGUCCCACGAAUCUUGACACGUUUUUCUUUUUGGGCCGUCCCACGAAUCUUGACACGUUUUCAUUUUGGGUAAUAAUUAUUACCUUCUCUCUCCUACUUUAUUAUUUUUAUUACUCUCUCUCUCAUACUUUAUCACUUUUAUUACCUUCUCUUUCCUACUUUAUCACUUUUAUAUUUUACUAGUGUAUUACCCAUUUCGACGGGUACAUAUUUUCUUGUAAUUUAUAUAUUUUAUGUUAUUUUUAUGAUAAUUAUAUAAAAUAAAUUUUUAUGUAAAUUAUUUAUAUAAUUAAUUAAAUUAAAUUAGUAAUACAUUUUAAAUUAUAUUAAUCUCAACAACUUUUAGUAAUUAAAUUAUUAAUUUUGUUGAGAUCAUAAAAAUACCCAUUAAUUUUCAUAUGAAAUUUUAUAAAAAGUUGACGCGUAAGAAAAAAAAAAGAAUAGAAAUACAUAUAAAUUUGACAUAGGUAUGAUGGAGGAUUGAUUUGUUGCAUUUGUUGUUACAAGAUUUAUUAAUUUUGUUCAAUUUUUUUUUUUUUGCCUUUUGACCAUAAUUUUAUAUGGAGUUUGAAAAAUCAUAAUUGAAUUGUAAGUAUCAUAUAAUUCCGAACUUCUAAAAGCAUAACUAAUUAUGAAAAUAAUCUCGCCUGAUAUUUAAAAGACCAUAACUGAUUUAUCGAACAUCGUAUCAUUUGGAGUUUUAAGACCAACCAAGUUGUGGGCAUCAUCUCGUCGCAGAUUUGACAGAUCACCUCUAACUUCUGAGCAUCAUCUUGUCUGAAACUUGAAAGAGAAUCAUCUCGUCUAAAACUUGAAAGAGCAUCAUCUCGUCUGGAGUUUUGAGCAUCAUCUCAUCUAGAGUUUGAGAGAGCAUCAUCAAAUAUGAAAUUAUAUUCAACCAUGACUCCAAUUGUCAACUAUCUUUUUUUUUGGUCAGAAAAAUAAAUAUCAUUAAAAAUCAAGGUACCAGAGGUACCGAAAGUUACAAAUUGAAAUGACAAAUGGUUUUAGACAUCCAGUCCUCUAUGCUAAUAUCACCCUCCAUCAAGUGGAAGAUUUUACUCCAACUCCAAAGUCUAGCUUUAAUACCUCCAACCAACUUGUGAACCUCCCAAUUCUUACUCUCAAAUCUACUUUCAUUCCUUCCUUUCCAGAUAAGCCAAGUGGUGCACGCCCAAAGUACCGAUAAAAACUUGACGCUGUUCUUCCUUGUCCCAAGAUUUGAGAAGGCUUCGUAGUGUGCGUCGACGUUUAAAGGUCGGACUGAAUCAACACCCACCCAUUUUUGGAUUUC